UUCACACUACUAUAUGCAGCAUCAGUGUGUUCUCCUGAUUGCUUCCCAUAUGAGCCUGAAAAGGGCCCUGGCAUAAAACUUGCAUGCAACAAUGGAG
rnacentral:lncRNA from 1 species